rnacentral:rRNA from 1 species
AUACGGAGGGUGCGAGCGUUGUUCGGAAUUACUGGGCGUAAAGGGCGCGCAGGCGGCUUGAUAAGUCAGAUGUGAAAGCCCACGGCUCAACCGUGGAAGUGCAUCUGAAACUGUCUGGCUUGAGUACUGGAGAGGAAAGUGGAAUUCCUGGUGUAGAGGUGAACUUCGUAGAUAUCAGGAGGAACACCGGUGGCGAAGGCGACUUCCUGGACAGAUACUGACGCUGAGGCGCGAAAGCGUGGGGAGCAAACAGGAUUAGAAACCCGAGUAGUCC